UUCGGGUUUAGUGGCGCACGGGUGCGUAACGCGUGGGAAUCUGCCCCUUGGUUCGGAAUAACAGUUGGAAACGACUGCUAAUACCGGAUGAUGACGUAAGUCCAAAGAUUUAUCGCCGAGGGAUGAGCCCGCGUAGGAUUAGGUAGUUGGUGUGGUAAAGGCGCACCAAGCCGACGAUCCUUAGCUGGUCUGAGAGGAUGAUCAGCCACACUGGGACUGAGACACGGCCCAGACUCCUACGGGAGGCAGCAGUGGGGAAUAUUGGACAAUGGGCGAAAGCCUGAUCCAGCAAUGCCGCGUGAGUGAUGAAGGCCUUAGGGUUGUAAAGCUCUUUUACCCGGGAUGAUAAUGACAGUACCGGGAGAAUAAGCUCCGGCUAACUCCGUGCCAGCAGCCGCGGUAAUACGGAGGGAGCUAGCGUUAUUCGGAAUUACUGGGCGUAAAGCGCACGUAGGCGGCUUUGUAAGUAAGAGGUGAGAGCCCAGAGCUCAACUCUGGAAUUGCCUUUUAGACUGCAUCGCUUGAAUCAUGGAGUGGUCAGUGGAAUUCCGAGUGUAGAGGUGAAAUUCGUAGAUAUUCGGAAGAACACCAGUGGCGAAGGCGGCUGACUGGACAUGUAUUGACGCUGAG
rnacentral:rRNA from 1 species